rnacentral:lncRNA from 1 species
CCCAGUCUCGGGUCACCUCCCUCCACUCCAGGAACAAAAGCGUCCGUGGUCUGUGCCUGGAAGUCUGAGAGGGUCUCCCCGAUGGGGCUGUUCCCGCCCGGACCCUGAGGGAUGAGAGUUGCAGCCUAGAAAACCAGAAAUUUUUCUACUAAGGACGGGGCUGAAUUGGAGGGACUGUGCUGACAAAUCCUCUACUUGAAAAUCCCCCAGCUAAGGAGUAUCUGCCCAAGGUCGCGGCCACCCAGAUGUUCGGUCCCCACUCCUUCCUCCGCUGAAAAGUCGCACCGAUGACUAACGUUGCCUGCCGGCCUGGUGGUUUGAAAACGAAUGCCGGGCAUUGAUGCAAGGAUAUCCUCCCCUACCCCUGGGAUUCUGGUCUAAGCAAAGGAGGCCGAAUGGAGAACUAAGACAAUUAUCUAAGUAAUCUAAAAAGCUCAAAGACAUCCCCAAGCGGACCUUGCUCCAGUGGUCUGUGAUGGCAGCCUAGUGGACAGUUUUCUAGUGGCCCUCUGGGGUUAAUUGCCUUAAUCUUCCACUCUGUCUGCCCCAGCAAAGGGAAAGAUGCUAAAGCAGCUGUGGACUUGCAGCCUCCCUCCUGUGUGUGCAGAGCCCCCAGGAAUCACUGCCCCAGUGCAGCAGGAGAAGCGCCUUCCCUCAUGCCCUAAGCCUGCCUUUUCUGUUGUCCCCCAGCUCCUGGGCCAGGUGGAGCCCCCCCUGAAGCUGGUUUCUACCUGCCCUCGCCUCCCCACUGCAGCCCACAGUUCGGCUUUCAGGGCUGAACCCAGAGCCCAGAGGAUGGAGAAGCCAGAAAGCGGGGAGGUAAGGGAGAGGGCGUCUAGGCACACCACAGAGGUGAUUGGGCUGUGACGGGGACAAUCCGCACAACACGAGCUAAGCUCACACCCCUAGGGAGUGAUUUUUCCGGACUGCCCCCAUCCCAAUCUCCACCUCCUCUGCUUUACUUGAAAAAGAAAAAGAAAAAAGAGAGCUCCUUCUGGCUCCUGGUGACCCAUAUUUAGGACACCAUCCCAUCCCCCAGCACACACAUUCCUACAGUGUCACCUGGUCCCCAAUCCGAGCAUUUCCUGGAGUGCUCGCCACAUUCCCCUUCCUGGUGCUUUUCUAUGGUGGGGCCAGGGGAGGCCUUGUUUUGAACAUCGCUGUGACGUCACUCCCCCUCCUCCGAGCUAAGCACCCCUCGGUGGGCCCUGGGAAUUGUUGCCCGGCCUGCUGGGGAGGGGCGGAGUGUGGGCCCAGGGAGGGUUCCACCAAACAUCCAUUACCGCUGUCGCCUGCGGGGCCUUCAGGCUGCAAGUACGUGAGGUGUCAGAAAAGAAGCCGAAGGGUUCCCGUGGGGGCUCUUCUGCCAAAUGAGUCAAGAGAUGUGCGGAAGCGGAUGAUUGAAGUACCCCGUGGAGUAGCAGAAAGGGGCAUCAAAAACUGUAACCUGAAAAUAAAAGCUUUAACCUG